GCAUAUCAAUAAGCGGAGGAAAAGAAACCAACAGGGAUUGCCCUAGUAACGGCGAGUGAAGCGGCAAUAGCUCAAAUUUGAAAGCUGGCCUUCUGGUCCGCAUUGUAAUUUGUAGAGGAUGCUUUUAGGCAGCCGCCGGUCUAAGUUCCUUGGAACAGGACGUCAUAGAGGGUGAGAAUCCCGUAUGUGACCGGCUCUGGCACCUUAUGUAAAGCUCCUUCGACGAGUCGAGUUGUUUGGGAAUGCAGUUCUAAAUGGGAGGUAAAUUUCUUCUAAAGCUAAAUACCGGCGAGAGACCGAUAGCGCACAAGUAGAGUGAUCGAAAGAUGAAAAGCACUUUGGAAAGAGAGUUAAAAAGCACGUGAAAUUGUUGAAAGGGAAGCGCUUGCAAUCAGACUUGGACUUGGCUGUUCAACCGGUCUUCUGACCGGCCUAUUCAGUCUUGUCCAGGCCAGCAUCAGUUUCGGCGGCCGGAUAAAGGCCCUGGGAAUGUAGCUGUUCCUUCGGGGACAGUGUUAUAGCCCAGGGUGUAAUACGGCCAGCUGGGACUGAGGUCCGCGCUUCGGCUAGGAUGCUGGCGUAAUGGUUGUAAGCGGCCCGUCUUGAAACACGGACCAAGGAGUCUAACAUCUAUGCGAGUGUUAGGGUGUCAAACCCUUACGCGUAAUGAAAGUGAACGGAGGUGGGAACCCGCAAGGGUGCACCAUCGACCGAUCCUGAUGUCUUCGGAUGGAUUUGAGUAAGAGCAUAGCUGUUGGGACCCGAAAGAUGGUGAACUAUGCCUGAAUAGGGUGAAGCCAGAGGAAACUCUGGUGGAGGCUCGCAGCGGUUCUGACGUGCAAAUCGAUCGUCAAAUUUGGGUAUAGGGGCGAAAGACUAAUCGAACCAUCUAGUAGCUGGUUCCUGCCGAA
rnacentral:rRNA from 1 species